rnacentral:rRNA from 1 species
AUACGUAGGGGGCGAGCGUUGUCCGGAAUGAUUGGGCGUAAAGGGCGCGUAGGCGGCCCGGUAAGUCUGGAGUGAGAGUCCUGUUUUUAAGAUGGGAAUUGCUUUGGAUACUGUCGGGCUUGAGUGCAGGAGAGGUAAGUGGAAUUCCCAGUGUAGCGGUGAAAUGCGUAGAGAUUGGGAGGAACACCAGUGGCGAAGGCGACUUACUGGACUGUAACUGACGCUGAGGCGCGAAAGUGUGGGGAGCAAACAGGAUUAGAUACCCUGGUAGUCCACACUGUAAACGAUGAAUGCUAGGUGUAGGGGGUAUCGACCCCUUCUGUGCCGCAGUCAACACAAUAAGCAUUCCGCCUGGGGAGUACGGCCGCAAGGUUGAAACUCAAAUGAAUUGACGGGG